UUUAUGGUGCUAGGUUUUGUCUUUUCAUCAAACAGUUGAAUUUUGUGUUUGUUAUGUUCACACUGAAGUAAAACAAUAAAAGGAAAGCAAGCGAUAACACAAAUAGUAAAGAAGAAAUUAAGAGAAUGUCCAUAUUUAUCUCACAUUUUAUCAUUUGGCAUAUGGAGGUUGAGGUCUCGGUGGAGGCAGUGGAGACAAUGGAGGCUUCGUCGGCAGAGCAUCGUAUUCUGGUGCUAGAAAUUCAGCUAAUAAUGGUUGCAAUAUCUCUCGGCUGAACAACCUGUGCAUGAUCUAUGCAACCCCGAUCAUCAUGAAAUGCUCUCUUAGAACUUCCCAAGGGGAACAUCUUAAUUGCCUUUUGACUGGGGUUAUUGAGCAAUUCAAAUGGUUAUAAUUGACAAAUUGUUUGUAGAGUCCUAUAAUUAUUUUUUCCUGAACAUUUUCGUAGAGUCUUAGGAUGACAAGACUUGCCAUGGAAUGCUUUGUGAUCACUAAUCAGGAUACCUAGGAGAGAGAAGUGGGGAGAAGCCUUAUGGACAAGAAAAAUACAACAUAGAUGUGAAUCUUAUAGAGUAUAUAUUUUUGGAAGCGAUUUAUAAGAUUACACGUCUGCCUAUAUAAACUAACUAGGUAAAGCAUUACAGUGGACCUUUCAGAAAUGAGUGGAGAAGGCAGUGAAGGAUUUGAUGCUGUUUGUUCUGAUAUGCGUGUUAUCCAAUUCAUAUUUUCCUUUUCACGAUUGAGUGUUGAGGUGAGAGGACCUUUUAGUCCUCCAGAUCUCAACUCAUCCCUCAAUGGUGAAAUAGAAAAGAUGAAUUGGAGUAUAUGAAUAUUGUGACAAACAGAAGCAAAUCCCUCUCUGCCUUCUCCAGUCAUUUCUAAUAGGCCUACUGCGACGCUUUUCCUAGUCAGUAUAUGGAGGUAGAUCUGGAAUAUUGAUAGACUCAGAGAACUAUUUCCAGAAUUCACUGUCCAGUAAAUAUUGGCAAUAACAUCCGUUCUGUUGAUACUCUUUGGAAUCUCGCUUCAUCUACUAACUUGAUCAGACAAGCCAAGGAGAAGGAUUCGAGGUAAGUCAGGUAAGGCAUAAAUUUCUUCCCUUUAAAAUUUCUAUCUUUAAUGGAGAUUAAUUUUCAAAAGAUUACCAUUUAUGAUAUCAUUGUCAUUUAUGGUAAUAACACUAGAAUCCCUACAUGUUUUUGUUAUGCUACCAAUAAGAUUUAAAAAUGUUUUUGUUGAGGGUGCUGCUUAACAGGUUUGGAAAUAUUUUGAUUGCAAGGAAUUACACAUAACUCUUUCCAGCAAUACGAGUCUUGAGAACCUGGAGGAACAUGUGCGACUAUAACAUUGUGCAUAAAUUCAACCUUCAGAUUCUCCCUAUAUUUGCAUCAAUUGGGAGAUAUCUAAAAUCAAGGCAUCAUUGUGAAUAUGGAGCUCAAAAAGUGUUCUAUACAAGGAAAAUGGAGAAUCGUAUUCUCUGGAACAUCUCUGCUGCUUUGAGUACUAGCUGGCCACUGUUCUGUCAAAUAUUGCGCAAACUUAGGCCUAUUGUCAUUUAUCAACAAAUGCAAUGGUUGUCAAGUGCAGGAAGUGGAGGGGUUGAGUGGAAUGUGUCUGGAAAUAUACUUAUGGCAUUCUUUAUUGCUUUCAAGUGCCACAUCAACAAUCAGACUGAAGCCAUGGCUUCUAAGUAUGGAAUUGAUGGGUGCAAAAAAUCACAACAUCAACAAGUAGAUGUGGAUCUAGACUCAAUGAUUAUUACUAACGUAAUCAGGAUACACAGUAUGGACAAAAUGAUGCUAAAAAAGAUCAUCUAUUAUAUUCUUUGCAGUAUCAAGGAAAAAGAUAUCCCAAGUCCAACAUUGUUACAUGGAGGCUAAUCACGUAGCGGACUUUAUUAAUAAACUUGUGGCAUCUAGUUGUAAUGGGACCACUACUCUUUUCAAUAACUUCCGAAAGAACGCAAGGGCUCUUUUUAACAUGAUAAAAGUCAAUUACCUAGUAUUAGAAUAAGAUAUGACAAGGCUAAUUUCCUUGUAAGUUAGUGACUGUAGAUGUUUGACAGGAAGAGAAUACAAGCAUAGGCUUGUCUCUUCCUGGAAGAAAGAUUACACAAACUUCUUUUUGGUGAUGUAAGGUUAAUGCCUCCCUUGUUUGAAA